rnacentral:lncRNA from 1 species
ACAAAGACAAGGGUCUGAUGUCAUCUCUUGCUGGAUAUGCUGCUGGACACUACGGACAGCAUGGACACUACCCUCCCGGGGCUUACCCUCCUCCUGGGGCAUACCCUCAUCAAGGAUAUCCUCCUCAGGGAUAUCCACCUGCUGGAUAUCCUCCACAAGGAUACCCACCUGCUGGUUACCCUCCUUCAGGUGGAUAUCCACCACACGGAUAUCCUCCAGCUGGAUAUCCGCCAGCAGGUUAUCCUGCUCCAUCAGCUUCACAUCAUACAGGUAGAUCUGCAACACUUUUGAAAUUUCUAUUAUUCCGUAGUUGAUUCUAUAAUUUUUUUAAUAAGUGCUUGUUUGAUUUUUAUCAAGACAAUAUGAUUAUCUUACUUUUUGUUGUAAACCGCCAUCUUCACCUCAUUGAUCAAGUUAAAUUAAACUAAAGUAGUUCUGUAUCGUUAUCUUUCAUUUUACAAUUUAAGGGAACAUAUGUUUCAUUUGCUAGAUACCGACCCUAUUAAUUGAAGCAUGAAAAAGGGGCCAAGGGAGUAUGCUUCAAUGUUCAUUAGCAUUUGUCAUUAUCUAUUAUUUUGUUCUUGUUUUAGCUAAAUAAAAAUAUAUCAUUCUUGACUUUUUC